rnacentral:lncRNA from 1 species
UUUUCAUCUUGUAGUCCCCCCCAGGGAGUGUCCUAGAGAUAAGCAGACACUCACUUCUUUGGUACAGUAGAAUGCUUUUCCCCCCAGGGUGACCAGGGUGCCGGGAAGCUGGGCAGGAGUUGCCUUUGUCUCUCCGUGACCCCAUUCUUCAUGUCUUAAUGCAUGUGCCGAGAUAGACAUCAACUCUGAUCCCAGCAAGGACUAUUCCCUUUCUAGGGCAUUGCCAGGAAAACUCCGAAGUCUCACAAGUUCUCUGGAGUUUCUGACGCUUGAGGCCAUCUUGGCUUCUUCUGCUUGGGUUCCUCUCCAGGCAGGUCACAUGCUGUUUCUAACUGUCCAAGCCCCUCUGCUAUUGAGCGGUUGUGUCUCUGCCUCUCUUCUUGGCCUAGGUCUGGAGUUUUCCUGCUUUUCUGUUAGGCUGGGGGCAGGGUGACAGUUUCCCUAAUCAAACUGAAAGAGUGACAGUAAACUCUACCAGACUCAGUGCCUCUCGGAUCUCCAGAAUCCUCCCCAAACUGGUCCCGGACCCUCUUUAAAAAUAGGCGCCCCCCCUCCUCCCCUCGAGGCAGGAACUGCUUGUCUCUGUCUUUGUCUCCACAGUAGCCGGCAUGUAGAAAGUUGAUGGACUGUUGAAAAUGUCACCGCAUCACGAGCAGGCUUUGUGCUUCCUAGCAGUCUCAGUAAGCGCAGGGGAACUGACUCAUCACCGGAGGGAUGGACUUCGCGAUUUAGGAAGAUGGCGCGCUAAGACACAUCAGCUUGACCUCAGUAGAGCGAAGACGUGCUCACUCUGUGGAACGUGUAGGCAUUUCCAAGCUUUGAUGAAGGUACCAUAGAACCUCAUUUCACACUACCAACAUGUUCCAAGAAGACCCUUCACAGAAGUCGAAAAGCAUGCAUCAGAGUGAACCCCAUCCCUUACUAAGUAUUUCUUCUGUGAACAUACCGAGGCACUUUAUGGCUUUUCUUCAGCUUAUCAGAGCCCCCAACAUCACUCCUAUUGUACUUUGGGACCAUUAUUAAUAGCUAAAAAGCAUUAAUGAAACAACAAGGAACAGAACUACCACUUUGACUCAGACACAACUUGUUACAAGCGAGAACUCCAGACAAAGAUUGAUGCUGGAGCUAAUGUUGGGCAUGAAACACUGUAAUGACUUACCCUGAUGCUCCUUGGAGAGAGACUGGGUGAACUGCUGCCAGACUGUAUCUGGCUUGGGAAAAUGGUGCUGAUUUAGCAUGUGAUUAAAAAUGUUUAUUCUACAUAUUUUUCUGCCUUUAAUUUUUUAUUGUCAAUAGCAUAUACCUGAAUAUGCCUGGGAUGAAUUUGUGUAAAAUGAAGUCCUACUAUAUUAGAGUUAGGAAU